rnacentral:sRNA from 1 species
CACAAAAGCCACGAAGGUUAUGGUCUUUUAAUCGGUUCGGGACAUUUUGGGAGAUGUAGCUGAAAACGAUGCGUUUGUCAAAGAGAGUUUCCGAAUGGAGAGGAAUGCUGUGGAAGAUGGACACGAACUGACGACCUGCAAUUCCUUUGGAAAAGCGCAUUGCCAUUGCGUUAUAUACUUUGGGCUCGUCCUCUGAGUACUGAACAGUUGGCAGGCUUUUCGGUGUGGCUUCAAACAGUGGGCUCCUGCACGAGUUUGGCAGAGCACUUAUCGACGAGUUUUUUAAGGGGUACACGUCACCCAUCUUCCGACAAAAUUGAAGAGUGCGUAAAGGGUUUCAUCAGUGCCUAGGUGCAAUUGAUUGAUGCCACAUCGAAAUAAAACCACCACCAGCUGAGGCAGUAGACCACCUUAGCUAAAAGGACUGGUAUUCCACAAACUGGUUUGCCCUAGUGGAUUAUAGAUACAUAUUUACAUAUGUAAAUAUCGGCUCUGCAGCAAGUUGAAAUGACUCGAUGAUAUACCAGGAGUCAACUCUUGCAAAAUGGAUCGAAGCAUUGGAAUUACGCCAAAAGAAAGCUAAUAAAGUAUGCGGAGUAAUAGGCUCUGCACACUGAGCCCAUCCUGAGGGAAUGGUGGCAUUUUUUGACAGAUGUGAAACUCCGAUUCACACUGGCACCAUCCACCAUCCGUCAAAAACAGCUGAUGCCAAUUACGAUGUACUUGUUAUUGGCAUUGACAUUUGGACGUUGACAUGCAAUGACUGCAUCUAUCAAGAGGCGAUGCAAUUACUGCACCGUCAAGUGGCCCGUGUGA